CAGUCGCCGCGGUAAUACGGAGGGUGCAAGCGUUAAUCGGAAUUACUGGGCGUAAAGCGCACGCAGGCGGUCUGUCAAGUCAGAUGUGAAAUCCCCGGGCUUAACCUGGGAACUGCAUUUGAAACUGGCGGGCUAGAGUCUUGUAGAGGGGGGUAGAAUUCCAGGUGUAGCGGUGAAAUGCGUAGAGAUCUGGAGGAAUACCGGUGACGAAGGCGGCCCCCUGGACAAAGACUGACGCUCAGGUGCGAAAGCGUGGGGAGCAAACAGGAUUAGAUACCCCAGUAGUCCCUGUCUCUUAUAC
rnacentral:rRNA from 1 species